CUGUAGGGGGCAUGAAUCGACUUUGUAAGUGUUGAAAGGUGCCUGCCGAUCAGCUGCCUGGGCAGCUGACCGCAAGAUUGACAAUUAUCGAAAUCAGCCGAGGUCAGGGUUGCUCCAAUUUGACAACCUAGAGGGCGUAACCUCCCCAUGCAAGAGUGCAUGCAAAUGUCAAGUGGCCAGAGCAGGUUUCCGGCUUCGAUCUUUUCCUGUGCGAUAAUCAAGCCGACGAGUCGUGUUUUUUUUCAAUCAGUGAAAAGUUUGCCAUCUGCGCCUAAUUCCACUAAAUAAAGUCGAAAGUGUGUACAGUGCCGGAAGGUUUAUAAGUGUAGCCGUUUUCUGCGGGAGCAACCUCUUCUGUGGGCGUUCUAACCCAGAGAACCGCCAGAGGCUGGAUUAAUCUGUGUACAUCCACGGAUACCGCUGCCACUGCGCAAAAGAUUUCCUGCGGAAAUUGUGGACCAGCUCCUCGGGAAGACGCCGCCUUACGCGCCCCAGCCUAGCGCGACCCGUGCUAAGGCGCCGUAAGGCACCCCACGUUUGCGGCACCAAAGAGUGACCAGCAAAGUGGAGUACUUCGACCCGCCUGGAAAUCGCAGGCGUCAGCAUACUGGUUCAUCGUUUUCCCGGAUCCGCCGAGAGGCUCCGUAGAUUCCACGUGCCGCAUCAACAAGCGAUCCGUAACCGAGACCGCGUCCACUGCUCGUGGGCUGAUAUUCUCGUUCCGUCGGCCGCUCCCCGUCCCCAACCGGCGCCCAUGUCGCCCGGCGAGGAGUUUGUGCUGGCAAAACCAGGCGCAUUCGAGCCCUGCAACGUUUAAUGUUCUAAAGACUUUCAAAGAAAAUACAAUCUACCGUUCCCGCUUCAACAGACUCCUGUAUUAAUAGAGUUUCGUCGAUGUAGAAUCCAGAUCUCGGUCCGUGUUUCAAAAAUGGCGCAGUAAAGCCGGUGUUAAAGAAAGUUACGGCCCGAGAGCAGCCCAGCAGAAUUAAAAUUAAUAAAUACGCUCUUCGGACACCUGAUUCCAGUUCCGCCUAUCCUCUCCUUGGCAGGCAGUCCGAUGCGAUUCGCCAAACCCAGUUAGAAAAGUAAUUGAGCUGCAGGCCAUCCCGUCGAAUCCGCCAGAGACUCGAACCAAUGAACAAGACUCUAGAAUCGCUCCUUUGAACAAACAAAUGAAGUUCCUAAGAUUUAGCUUUAAAUAUUAGUUAGGCCAUUCCGUCGAAUCCGACAGAGACUCGAACCCAUGAAUAAGACUCUAGAAUCGUUCCUUUGAACAAACAAAUGAAGUUCCUAAGAUUUAGCUUUAAAUAUUAGUUGCACCCGUUCGAAUUAAGAAUUUAUAUGAAAUAUUGGAAAGAAUUAGAGGAAAUUGUAAGAAAUCUAAAAAGCACCCGAAACAAAACAGAAAUUUAUUGGAUUUAGAACUAACCCCGCCUGAGGGAAAUCAAAGGUCUCGAAAGCACUAAUGUAAACGAAAGAAAAAGGAUAACGUUCUAUUUCAGCAGUCGCCGGAAGAUCGAUCUUUCGCCGAUGGAGAAACCUAACUGCGUGAGUAAAAUCCUGCGACUUUCGUUUGGUUCUAGUGGGCGCGCCCAAUCCUAAGCUCUCGAAAAGAAAA